rnacentral:lncRNA from 1 species
AAGAAUUCAGGCCAGUUGUACACUGCUACAAAAAGUGCUGUGCUCUGCCAUUGUUCUGUGAUAAAUUUCACUUGAGAAUUCAGGAAUUUGGCGUCUCUUUUCUUUCAGACACUAUGAUAUUUACUUGAUUGUGCCUCUGCGCUCAACGUUGAAAUAUCUUUCUAUCUGAUCUAUUGAAGUGCGAUCCUUAUUACCACGUGGCAGCCUUGGCACCAUAAGCAUGCUGAGCUCACUACUUGUUGGGCACAGUGUGUUGGCUCGGAGGUUUUAAACUGGCAUCUGAUUGUGCCUCCUGGAAGCACGACUGUGUAGGUAAUUGCACAGCGCAACACUGAUAUGCCAGAGUGCUGAUAUAAGGAAAGGUCGCAUUCUCUGCUUUGUGUCUGCACAAGACUCAUGGACCUAAAUAUGAGCAAAACAAACAGGUUUUGUAAGAGAGGGACUGCCUCUUCUUCUUAAAUUAUGGAUCCAUAAGGCUGAAGCAAGGAA